AUUUGGUGUUGCUCUGUCCAUCUCUUGAUGGUUAAUUUCUGUAACUCUUCCUUUUUGUAGGUAAUUUUAGUGGAAUUUUGCAUGUGCAGUUGGCCAUUGAUCAAAUUGUUAAUCUUUCGAAAGGGUUUGCUUAUGUUAAGUUCAAGACUAGAAUUGAUGCUGAGAAAGCCCAGGCACAAAUUGAUGAAAAAGUAAUCCAUGCCAAGUUCACCCUGCCAGAGCGAAAGAAGGCUGCCUCACCUCCAAGGGUUGUUGCAACUUCCUUAGGAAGAGAUGCUCCAAGAACUGAUAAUGCCCCCGUUGAUGUGAAGAAAUAUGGAAAAAAUGACAACAAGAGUGUUUGACAUUAGUUUAUUUUUGACAAAAUACUUG